rnacentral:sRNA from 1 species
UGUUGUUGGUGGUGGUGGCAGUAGAAGACAACAGUACAAUGACCGAAAGUUUUCCAUGCAAACAGACUUAGAAGAAGAAGCGGCUAAAUGAGAGGGAGUGGGAAAGCAGAAUUUUAUGCCGCAAAAAAAUAGUAGUAGAAAAAUAAGCAUGCUAGCUACUACUACUACUACUACUACUAAAACCUGUUGGAGCAGGAGUGGAAAAACAGAAUUUUAUUCCCGCUUUCUCGGCACCACUGCACUAUGGGAAAUAUUACAGCUUUCUGUGACGUAAAAAAUAUCCCCCAUAACGGUUGAACUUUCCACGAAAAGCGCUGCCAGAUGAUAUCCCCAAGGUUUCGCCGGAAUGGCAACGCCGCUUUGGACCAACAACUCUUCUUUCUUCUUCUCACCUCUCCAAAACGUACGAUCAAAAUGUACACUCUGAUAACGUAUGAAGGUGAGCAACAAAAUAAAAAACCAAAAAGAAAAGGCACAACUCCAAAACAACAACAAUGGAAUGUCGACGCACCCUUUUCUUUCUUGCGCAUUUCGAACACAGAGAGAGAGGAGAGGAGAAGAAGCGCAAAACCACAUCCCGCUUGAAAGACGAAUUAAAGUAAGAAAGAGGAGCGGGUGGAACUCUACAAUGGUGGUGGGGACAAUAGGGGAUACCUUGUUUUUAUUUUUUAU